CCUCUGGAGUGUCACAUCAACGCUAGUUAGCUUUGGCGAAAGCGGACACGUAUGAAUGAGGAA
rnacentral:ncRNA from 1 species